GACGAACGCUGGCGGCGUGCCUAAUACAUGCAAGUUGAGCGCUGAAGGUUGGUACUUGUACCAACUGGAUGAGCAGCGAACGGGUGAGUAACGCGUGGGGAAUCUGCCUUUGAGCGGGGGACAACAUUUGGAAACGAAUGCUAAUACCGCAUAAAAACUUUAAACACAAGUUUUAAGUUUGAAAGAUGCAAUUGCAUCACUCAAAGAUGAUCCCGCGUUGUAUUAGCUAGUUGGUGAGGUAAAGGCUCACCAAGGCGAUGAUACAUAGCCGACCUGAGAGGGUGAUCGGCCACAUUGGGACUGAGACACGGCCCAAACUCCUACGGGAGGCAGCAGUAGGGAAUCUUCGGCAAUGGACGAAAGUCGGACCGAGCAACGCCGCGUGAGUGAAGAAGGUUUUCGGAUCGUAAAACUCUGUUGGUAGAGAAGAACGUUGGUGAGAGUGGAAAGCUCAUCAAGGGACGGUAACUACCCAGAAAGGGACGGCGAACUAC
rnacentral:rRNA from 1 species